rnacentral:RNase_P_RNA from 3 species
UAGUGUAUUCGGAUAAUUGCGCGACCUGAAAGGGAGUGAGGAAAGUCCGGGCAUUUAGUCUUAUUUUUAAUAAGACAAUCGUAGUGGGUAAUACCCAUCAUGUGUAAGCAUAGUAGUGCGAACAGAGACGAAUCCAUUUAGUUGGAGUGAAACGGCUAAAUCUAUACGAGAAUGCAAGGCCGUGUCUACUUUAUGUAGAAGUGUCGCAAAGAUUUUAAUAGUAAUAUUAAAACAAGAUUAAUAAUUAUCACUCUAUUUAUAGAGAACAGAAUCCGGCUUAUAGAAUGCACAACGCA